rnacentral:ncRNA from 1 species
ACGAGGAAGGGCGUAGUAAGCGACGAAAUGCUUCGGGGAGUUGAAAAUAAGCGUAGAUCCGGAGAUUCCCGAAUAGGUCAACCUUUCAAACUGCUGCUGAAUCCAUGGGCAGGCAAGAGACAACCUGGCGAACUGAAACAUCUUAGUAACCAGAGGAAAAGAAAGCAAAAGCGAUUCCCGUAGUAGCGGCGAGCGAAAUGGGAGCAGCCUAAACCGUGAAAACGGGAUUGUGGGAGAGCAAUACAAGCGUCGUGCUGCUAGGCGAAGCGGUGGAGUGCUGCACCCUAGAUGGCGAGAGUCCAGUAGCCGAAAGCAUCACUAGCUUACGCUCUGACCCAAGUAGCAUGGGGCACGUGGAAUCCCGUGUGAAUCAGCAAGGAGAAAUA